rnacentral:tRNA from 1 species
UCCCUGGUGGCUCAGACAGUAAAGUGUCUGCCUUUAAAGCGGGAGACCCAGGUUCAGUCCCUGGGUUGGGAA